UAUCCCGUCAGUCAAUAAUGGUUGAUAGGAGUAAUAUUAAUGCCAUCCACACUGCCAGUGUUCUUACAGCACACUGGCUAAAAGGAAGAAAUAGCCAGAACAAGCACAAUGUCUACAACCACAGGGACUUUAUAGUAAUUCAAAGGAGGAGUCUGUCAUUUCAUUUUCUCAUAUGGCCACUGGAUGAAAUGGACAAACAUUCAAGUCUCAUGCAAAACCACAAACCUAUUUCCAGUCCAUGAACACUCAGUCCUGAAGGAUCUAUACUAUUUAACCAGAUUUUUGGUGAAAGCCUUGUAAUAACUAAUUAACUGAGCCGCAACAAACCUGACACCUUAAAAAAGGGAUAUGCAAUACGAGAACAUAUGGUACUAGAUGUUACCUAGCAUUGAACAGGUAUUUUCCUAUGAUUAGAUACAAUUUCGAUUUGCCCAUCACUGGAUACGACCAUUUGCUUUAUAAUAUAGUUAUUAUUUUGGUUUGCCUGUAUAGAAUAGGCUGUUUUUACACUGUGUGUCUGAAUGCUAGAAAAAAAAAUCACAGCCUGCUAAACCAUCCCUUUCUCAUCAUAAUGUACACACACAAACAGUAAACGUGCCAUCUUUUCCUGCAUGGUUGAAACCAGAGCCAUUUAUACAGCAUGUGCCAUCUCUUUGUAAUUGACUUAACCCCGUGACCUAGCGGUCGUGACACCUGUGAUACUGAAUAUAGUACAGUUGUAGCAGACCCACGGUGCAGCGUGAUGUCAGCCCCACAUGCAUGACAUCACAACAACACAGGAACACAAAGCAGUGUUGUUACACUCAGGACCAAACAACUCCCAACAGCUGGACCUUUGGUUGUCAGACCUUCAUCAGAGCACACCCUCCAGACCACUACAAACACAACAGGUUAACUAUUCUCUGGUAAUAAGCGGCCCGUCCAUGGACACAAGGGCAUGAGGAACACAGGUUGGCUUCAAAACACAGAGGCUGUGGAUAUAUGGGUUACGGGUUGGGACCUGGAGGUGGCGUUGGGUCGAUACCAGGUGUGGAGCUGAGGGUGGUGUUGGGUCGAUACCAGGUGUGGAGCUGAGGGUGGUGUUGGGUCGAUACCAGGUGUGGAGCUGAGGGUGGUGUUGGGUCGAUACCAGGUGUGGAGAUGAGGGUGGUGUUGGGAAGGUACAGGGUGUGGAUCUGAGGGUGGUGUUGGGUAGGUAAAGGGGUGUGGAUCUGAGGGUGGUGUUGGGUCGAUACCAGGUGUGGAGCUAACGGUGGUGUUGGGUUGGUACAGGGUGUGGAUCUGAGGGUGGUGUUGGGUCAAUACCAGGUGUGGAGCUGAGGGGGGUGUUGGGUUGGUACAGGUGUGUAUGGAGUAGCUGAUGCUAGAUCUGUGCCUAUUUAAGGACACCUACCUUAGUCUAGGGACUUCCAGUUAGGAACCUCCAGGCUAACAUGGAGGUCUGUCUGGUAGGAGGUGGGGCUGGUAGGAGGUGGGGCUGGUAGUGUUUACAAUACAUAAGCAUGAGAGAAAAAGACCUGAGGCUAACAGCUGCAGCCAGUAAAAACAUAAUAUAGACAGAGCAUAGACAGUGUAGAAAGCUCUGCAAUGUGGCCAAGACUCAGUUGGAAAUACACAUACUCACAAUGAAUAUUGUUUUAUAGGAACACAUGAUAACAUACACAGAGGCUUUGGAUUUACUGAUUUUAUAGGUUUUAUAGUGGCAUUUACUCAAUUAGUGGUCAGACAAUGGUCUGCGCUCUCUUAUUUUGUAGCAAUAAUAUUCACUAUUUGUUAGCUGCUAUUAGGCUGGGCUUAGAGUAUCCUGCUCUUUGAUGUGCAAUACUGGCAGAUGAUUGAUUGACUGUGAGAGAGAGUGGCAGGAAAGAAAAAACUGUGGAAGAGAGAUGAAGAGUGACAAAAGAGUGAAAAGAGAUACACAGCAUUGGAGAAGAGGGGGUGCUCUCUAAAAACGAGUUAACUGCCUUUCUUGACCCAAGCAAAACACACAGGAGUGACCUCUGGGGUUAGCUACUGAUAUCAGUGGUAUUAUCUUACUCUGCCUGUAAGGACAAAGCACACACACACACACAACACAAAUACACACACAGGACAAAUAGCUAACCUGGGGAAAUCAAAUAACAGAGAAUCCAAGCCAUCUCUGUUUCAGUUUCUCAAAGAACUAAUUUGGUGAGGGGGACAGAGAUAUUUUUAUAUGGAUUAAUUGAGGGACGGGCAUAUAUAAGGGAACUGUGGAAAUGUCCAAAAGGUUUAAAAGUUUACAUUAUCUUCAGGAUAUCAGGGUUUUCAGGAUCUGACUUUUUAGAAAGAUAAACUCCUCAAUAAAAUGACAUCUGACAUGUUAUUCUGAACCCUUCUAUUGAUCUUUUUUUGCACUGUAAUAUCAUGGAAAACAUCCACACAAAAAUUUGCACCAACAGAAUGUCUUAUCAAUAUUUUUCCCCUUAUCUACACAGCAUCAUCCACACUUAAAUAGGAUUUGUUUUUUAUGAAAUAAAAUUGUAUUAAAAACGAAGAACUGGAAUAUUAUAAUGUUUAAGCAGUUUUGGAAAUAAUCUAAAUAUAAGCAAUUGGGCAUCUCAAGUGUUUGUGGUAUGUUGCCAGUAUCACACAGUAUAACCUAAGAGGGCCUGGAAUCGUUCUGAGAACAGACCUGUCUGUACACUGCAUUAUUAUUUUUGUCUUUAUCUUGUGAAGUGCCCCAGUACCUGCUGAUGAAAAACACCCCCAUAACAUGAUGCCGCCACCACCAUGCCUCACUGUAAGAAUGGUAAUUCAAGGUGGGCUGAAAGGGGAAUAACAAUGAAUAUUAAGAUUUGUCAAGUUUAUAAAUUGCUUGAAGGAAAUGUUUGACUUGUA
ensembl:lncRNA